rnacentral:rRNA from 1 species
ACGGAAGGCAGCAGUGGGGAAUAUUGGGCAAUGGGCGAAAGCCUGACCCAGCGACGCCGCGUGAAGGAAGAAGGUCUUCGGAUUGUAAACUUCUUUUAUAUGGGACGAAGAAUGACGGUACCAUAUGAAUAAGCCACGGCUAACUACGUGCCAGCAGCCGCGGUAAUACGUAGGUGGCGAGCGUUAUCCGGAUUUACUGGGUGUAAAGGGCGUGUAGGCGGAGCUGCAAGUCAGAUGUGAAAUCCCGGGGCUCAACCCCGGAACUGCAUUUGAAACUGUAGCCCUUGAGUAUCGGAGAGGCAAGCGGAAUUCCUAGUGUAGCGGUGAAAUGCGUAGAUAUUAGGAGGAACACCAGUGGCGAAGGCGGCUUGCUGGACGACAACUGACGCUGAGGCGCGAAAGCGUGGGGAGCAAACAGGAUUAGAUACCCUGGUA